CCAGAUGAGGAGCUUGCUCUUCAAAUCGAGUGGCGAACGGGUGAGUAACGCGUGAGGAACCUGCCUCAAAGAGGGGGACAACAGUUGGAAACGACUGCUAAUACCGCAUAAGCCCACGGCUCGGCAUCGAGCAGAGGGAAAAGGAGCAAUCCGCUUUGAGAUGGCCUCGCGUCCGAUUAGCUAGUUGGUGAGGUAACGGCCCACCAAGGCGACGAUCGGUAGCCGGACUGAGAGGUUGAACGGCCACAUUGGGACUGAGACACGGCCCAGACUCCUACGGGAGGCAGCAGUGGGGAAUAUUGCACAAUGGGGGAAACCCUGAUGCAGCGACGCCGCGUGGAGGAAGAAGGUCUUCGGAUUGUAAACUCCUGUUGUUGAGGAAGAUAAUGACGGUACUCAACAAGGAAGUGACGGCUAACUACGUGCCAGCAGCCGCGGUAAAACGUAGGUCACAAGCGUUGUCCGGAAUUACUGGGUGUAAAGGGAGCGCAGGCGGGAGAACAAGUUGGAAGUGAAAUCCAUGGGCUCAACCCAUGAACUGCUUUCAAAACUGUUUUUCUUGAGUAGUGCAGAGGUAGGCGGAAUUCCCGGUGUAGCGGUGGAAUGCGUAGAUAUCGGGAGGAACACCAGUGGCGAAGGCGGCCUACUGGGCACCAACUGACGCUGAGGCUCGAAAGUGUGGGUAGCAAACAGGAUUAGAUACCCUGGUAGUCCACACCGUAAACGAUGAUUACUAGGUGUUGGAGGAUUGACCCCUUCAGUGCCGCAGUUAACACAAUAAGUAAUCCACCUGGGGAGUACGACCGCAAGGUUGCAACUCAAAGGAAUUG
rnacentral:rRNA from 1 species